rnacentral:rRNA from 1 species
AUUGAACGCUGGCGGCAUGCCUUACACAUGCAAGUCGAACGGCAGCACGGGAGCAAUCCUGGUGGCGAGUGGCGAACGGGUGAGUAAAGUAUCGGAACGUGCCCAGUCGUGGGGGAUAACGUAGCGAAAGUUACGCUAAUACCGCAUACGAUCUACGGAUGAAAGCGGGGGAUCGCAAGACCUCGCGCGAUUGGAGCGGCCGAUAUCAGAUUAGGUAGUUGGUGGGGGAAAGGCUCACCAAGCCGACGAUCUGUAGCUGGUCUGAGAGGACGACCAGCCACACUGGGACUGAGACACGGCCCAGACUCCUACGGGAGGCAGCAGUGGGGAAUUUUGGACUAUGGGCGAAAGCCUGAUCCAGCCAUGCCGCGUGCAGGAUGAAGGCCUUCGGGUUGUAAACUGCUUUUGUACGGAACGAAAAGGUUUGGCCUAAUAAGCUGAGCUCAUGACGGUACCGUAAGAAUAAGCACCGGCUAACUACGUGCCAGCAGCCGCAGUAA